rnacentral:misc_RNA from 1 species
AACGCACCUUGCGCUCCUUGGUAUUCCGAGGAGCAUGCCUGUUUGAGUGUCAUUAAUAUUAUAUAUCAAACCCUCUUUUGUUGAGUGGUUUGGAUGUGGGGUUGCUGGCCUCUUGAAGGGGUCAGCUUUCCUGAAAUGCAUUAGCAGAACAGCCUGUUCGUUCCAUUGGUGUGAUAACUAUCUACGCUAUUGAAUGAUGAAGGCAAGUUCAGCUUUCUAACCGUCUUUGGACAAUUUAUCAUCUAUAUGUGACCUCAAAUCAGGUAGGACUACCCGCUGAACUUAA